UGGGGAAUUUUGGACAAUGGGCGCAAGCCUGAUCCAGCAAUGCCGCGUGCAGGAUGAAGGCCUUCGGGUUGUAAACUGCUUUUGUACGGAACGAAAAGCCUCUCUCUAAUACAGGGGGGUGAUGACGGUACCGUAAGAAUAAGCACCGGCUAACUACGUGCCAGCAGCCGCGGUAAUACGUAGGGUGCAAGCGUUAAUCGGAAUUACUGGGCGUAAAGCGCGCGCAGGCGGUUUUGUAAGACAGUGGUGAAAUCCCCGGGCUCAACCUGGGAACUGCCAUUGUGACUGCAAGGCUGGAGUGCGGCAGAGGGGGAUGGAAUUCCGCGUGUAGCAGUGAAAUGCGUAGAUAUGCGGAGGAACACCGAUGGCGAAGGCAAUCCCCUGGGCCUGCACUGACGCUCAUGCACGAGAGCGUGGGGAGCAAACAGGAUUAGAUACCCUGGUAGUCCACGCCCUAAACGAUGUCAACUGGUUGUUGGGGAUUUAUUUCUUCAGUAACGAAGCUGAACGCGUGAAGUUGACCGCCUGGGGGAGUA
rnacentral:rRNA from 1 species